rnacentral:misc_RNA from 1 species
AAUCAUCAAAACCCUUUUUCUUUUGGAAAGGGAUUUUGGACUUGGAGGCUCAUGCUCGCUUUCACUUUUGAAAGUGAGCUCCUCUCAAACGAAUCAGUGGGGUCUGCUUUGCUGAUCCUUGACGUGAUAAGAUUAUUUCUACGUUUUGGAUUUGGCACCAUGCCCACUUCUAACCGUCUCAUGGACAAUCGAUGGUGCUUCGGUCACCGCCAUCCACAUCGGCGGGAGGCUGGACCCACAAAGAAC